AGUGAACGCUGGCGGUAGACCUAACACAUGCAAGUCGAACGGCAGCACAGUAAGAGCUUGCUCUUACGGGUGGCGAGUGGCGGACGGGUGAGGAAUAAAUCGGAAUCUACUUUUUCGUGGGGGAUAACGUAGGGAAAAUUACGCUAAUACCGCAUACGACCUACGGGUGAAAGCAGGGGAUCUUCGGACCUUGCGCGAUUGAAUGAGCCGAUGUCGGAUUAGCUAGUUGGCGGGGUAAAGGCCCACCAAGGCGACGAUCCGUAGCUGGUCUGAGAGGAUGAUCAGCCACACUGGAACUGAGACACGGUCCAGACUCCUACGGGAGGCAGCAGUGGGGAAUAUUGGACAAUGGGCGCAAGCCUGAUCCAGCCAUACCGCGUGGGUGAAGAAGGCCUUCGGGUUGUAAAGCCCUUUUGUUGGGAAAGAAAAGCAGCAGGUUAAUACCCCGCUGUUCUGACGGUACCUAAAGAAUAAGCACCGGCUAACUUCGUG
rnacentral:rRNA from 1 species